UACGAAGGGGGCUAGCGUUGCUCGGAAUCACUGGCGUAAAGCGCACGUAGGCGGCUUUCUAAGUCAGGGGUGAAAUCCUGGAGCUCAACUCCAGAACUGCCUUUGAUACUGGAGAGCUGAGUCCGGAAGAGGUGAGUGGAACUCCGAGUGUAGAGGUGAAAUUCGUAGAUAUUCGGAAGAACACCAGUGGCGAAGGCGGCUCACUGGUCCGUACUGACGCUGAGACGCGAAGCGUGGGAGCGACAGG
rnacentral:rRNA from 1 species